UACGUAGGGUGCAAGCGUUUAAUCGGAAUUACUGGGCGUAAAGCGUGCGCAGGCGGUUUUGUAAGUCUGUCGUGAAAGCCCCCGGGCUCAACCUGGGAAUUGCGAUGGAGACUGCAAGGCUUGAAUCUGGCAGAGGGGGGUAGAAUUCCACGUGUAGCAGUGAAAUGCGUAGAGAUGUGGAGGAACACCGAUGGCGAAGGCAGCCCCCUGGGUCAAGAUUGACGCUCAUGCACGAAAGCGUGGGGAGCAAACAGG
rnacentral:rRNA from 1 species